GGAUGUGAGGGCGAUCUGGCUGUGACAUCUGUCACCCCAUUGAUCGCCAGGGUUGAUUCAGCUUGUCUGGCUGGCUAGGCGGGUGUCCCCUGUCUUCCUCACUGCUCCAUGUGCGUCCCUCCCGAAGCUGCGUGCUCGGUGGAAGGGGACGGCCUUCCCCGCUAGAGGGGGACCGCUCCUCGGUCAGGGGUAUACGAGUACCCGCGCUCCCCUGCUAGAGCCUCCAAACAAGCUCUCAAGGUCCAUUCGUAGGAGAAUGUAGACUCCAGACUUCCAAGACUCCAGACACGUCCAAAUGAAGUGCUGCAUGUGGCCGUAUGCUUUUCUUU
rnacentral:snRNA from 1 species